UACGUAGGUGGCAAGCGUUGUCCGGAAUUAUUGGGCGUAAAGCGCGCGCAGGUGGUUCUUUAAGUCUGAUGUGAAAGCCCACGGCUCAACCGUGGAGGGUCAUUGGAAACUGGGGAACUUGAGUGCAGAAGAGGAUAGUGGAAUUCCAAGUGUAGCGGUGAAAUGCGUAGAGAUUUGGAGGAACACCAGUGGCGAAGGCGACUAUCUGGUCUGUAACUGACACUGAGGCGCGAAAGCGUGGGGAGCAAACAGG
rnacentral:rRNA from 2 species